ensembl:snRNA U1 U1 spliceosomal RNA
GACCUUGCCUGGUAGGGGAGAUACUGUGAUCAACAAGGUGGUUUUCCCAGGGAGAGGCUUAUCCAUUGCACUCUGGAUGUGCUGACCCCUCCUAUUUCCCCAAAUACAGAAAACUCGACUGCAUAAUUUGUGGUAGUGGGGGACUGCAUUUGUGCUCCAUCUUC